AUGUUACUCCCUCCGCCCCAAAAUUCUUGUCUUAGAUUUGUCUAAAUACGAAUGUAUCACGUCAUAUUUUAGUAUUAGAUACAUCCAUAUCUAGACAAAUCCAAGACAAGAAUUUUGGGACGAAGGGAGUAUUAA
rfam:Triticum aestivum genome assembly, contig: Triticum_aestivum_CS42_TGACv1_scaffold_251580_3DL